GACGAACGCUGGCGGCGUGCCUAAUACAUGCAAGUAGAACGCACAGUUUAUACCGUAGCUUGCUACACCAUAAACUGUGAGUUGCGAACGGGUGAGUAACGCGUAGGUAACCUGCCUGGUAGCGGGGGAUAACUAUUGGAAACGAUAGCUAAUACCGCAUAAUAUUGAUUAUUGCAUGAUAAUUGAUUGAAAGAUGCUAUUGCAUCACUACCAGAUGGACCUGCGUUGUAUUAGCUAGUAGGUGAGGUAACGGCUCACCUAGGCGACGAUACAUAGCCGACCUGAGAGGGUGAUCGGCCACACUGGGACUGAGACACGGCCCAGACUCCUACGGGAGGCAGCAGUAGGGAAUCUUCGGCAAUGGACGAAAGUCUGACCGAGCAACGCCGCGUGAGUGAAGAAGGUUUUCGGAUCGUAAAGCUCUGUUGUAAGAGAAGAACGGGUGUGAGAGUGGAAAGUUCACACUGUGACG
rnacentral:rRNA from 1 species